UACAGAGGUCUCAAGCGUUGUUCGGAAUCACUGGGCGUAAAGGGUGCGUAGGCGGCGGGGCAAGUCAGAUGUGAAAUCCGGAGGCUCAACCUCCGAAAUGCAUCCGAUACUCCCUCGCUAGAGAUUUGUAGAGGAGUCUGGAAUUCUCGGUGUAGCAGUGAAAUGCGUAGAUAUCGAGAAGAACGCUCGCAGCGAAGGCGAGACUCUGGGCAAAUUCUGACGCUGAUGCACGAAGGCUAGGGGAGCAAACGGG
rnacentral:rRNA from 1 species